UCCGAUAUGCUCUAGUGGCUAGGAUACCUGGCUCUCACCUAGGAGGCUCGGGUUCGAUUCCCGGUAUCGGAA